rfam:Gordonia bronchialis DSM 43247, complete genome.
AGGGCCGUCGGAUCCACCCCGCGGGUGACCACGAGGUAGUCGCGCAUGACGAUGCCGUGCCGGUUCUC